rnacentral:lncRNA from 1 species
AGCAAAUUUAACAGUCUAUCAUGUUUCACAUAGCACACAAUUCCAUAUGCACUACAUUUCCUUUAAUAUGCAUAUCAGCAUGCAUCAUAUAUUCUUUACUAUGCAUAUACUACAUGCAUCAAUAAUUCCUUACAAAACAUUCAUUCAUGCAUUAUACAUUUCUAAUUUAUCGAGUUACAUCAUACAACAAUGUAAUCACAUAUAGAUUGAGUUCCA